UACGUAGGGUGCAAGCGUUAAUCGGAAUUACUGGGCGUAAAGCGUGCGCAGGCGGCUUUGCAAGACAGAUGUGAAAUCCCCGGGCUUAACCUGGGAACUGCAUUUGUGACUGCAUAGCUGGAGUGCGGCAGAGGGGGAUGGAAUUCCGCGUGUAGCAGUGAAAUGCGUAGAUAUGCGGAGGAACACCGAUGGCGAAGGCAAUCCCCUGGGCCUGCACUGACGCUGAGGCACGAAGGCCAGGGGAGCAAACGGG
rnacentral:rRNA from 1 species